AAUGAACGCUGGCGGCAUGGAUUAGGCAUGCAAGUCGAACGGGUCCCCUCGGGGACUAGUGGCGCAAGGGUGAGUAACACGUGAGCAACCUGCCCCUGAAUCCGGAAUAAACCAGGGAAACUUGGCCUAAAACCGGAUGUUGGCCUUUGUCCGCAUGGACUUUGGCCGAAAUAUUCAUAGUUCGGGGAUGGGCUCGCGUCCCAUUAUGCUUGUUGGCGGGGUAACGGCCCACCAAGGCUACGACGGGUAGGUGGUCUGAGAGGAUGGUCACCCACACUGGGACUGAGACACUGCCCAGACUCCUACGGGAGGCUGCAGUCGAGAAUCUUCCGCAAUGGGCGCAAGCCUGACGGAGCAAUGCCGCGUGAGGGACGAAGGCCUUCGGGUUGUAAACCUCUGUCAUCCGGGACGAAACCAAUGACGGUACCGGAAAAGGAAGCCACGGCUAACCACGUGCCAGCAGCCGCGGUAACACGUGGGUGGCGAGCGUUAUUCGGAUUUACUGGCGUAAAGGUCCGCAGGGGCCUGCCACGCCCGCC
rnacentral:rRNA from 1 species